UUGGCUGCGUUGGGUCUUCGUUGCUGCACGCAGGCUUCCUCUAGUUGUGGUGAGCGGGGGCUGCUCUUCGUUGCGGUGCAUGGGCUUCUCAUUGUGGUGGCUUCUCGUUGCAGAGCAUGGGCAAUAGACACGCGGGCUUCUGUAGUUGUGGCUCACGGGCUCUAGAGUGCAGGCUCUGUAGUUGUGGCGCAUGGGCUUAGUUGCUCUGCGGCAUGUGGGAUCUUCCCAGACCAGGGCUCGAACCCAUGGCCCCUGCAUUGGCAGGCGGAUUCUUAACCACUGUGCCUCAGUGGUUAAGUCCUCAACUGAAUUUUUUUCUUUUUGGUCUUUUUGAUGAUAAGUUUCAUGAGAGCAGGGACUUCGUCUGUUUUUCCUUUCCUGUUUGUUCACAGUGCACCCUGUAGAACUCUUUGAACACAAAGACUUUUUUUUUACAAUAACUGUAUUUUUUCUUUUCAGAUUUAAACGUGCUUUUCACACGUUUCCUCCAACAGGCUGCAUGUGUGAAUGUGCUGACCAUUCUUCUUCCGCAGUAUGCCUGCCACUGGAUGGAAGGGCUAGAGUCUUGUACCCCUGGCUUCUUUAUGUAAGAGUAUGCAGGCUUUCCCCUAGGAUAGCCUGCCUCACAUUUACCACAGGUUUUUUAAAGAAAAGCAUAGUUGCUCUCUGUUUUACCACAUGGUAUUAGAAGUCCAGAAACAAUAGUCACCUUUUGUUGUUGUUUUAUUUUAACCAGACCUCAGUCUUUGACUUGUGAAAUUGUUUAUGAAUGUAUCAAAGUGCUUUCAGCUGCAAGAAGCCAAAAUCCAAAUUCAAAGUGGCUUAAACCAUAGGUAAUGUAUUGACUUAUGUAACUGGAAGCCCAGAGGUAGAGUAGACCCCAAGGGUGACAUAAUCCAAAUCUAGCUCAGUUACCCUCUGCUUUUCGCGCUGUCCUCCCGUUUGUUGGUUUCAUCCUCCAGCUGGAUCUGAGAUGAGUUCAGAAUUUUCAGGCCUGACAUGCAUUUGUGACCAUGUAGAGAAGAAGAAAGAAACCAUCUUUCCUCUGGUGUUCUCCUAGGAAGCUUUCCUGCCGAGUCCCCAGCCGACUUCCUCUUGGUUUCAUUGGCCAACAUUACAUCGUGUACCCUAUUCUCAAACCAGCCAAUGCCAUGCACUGAUUUACUAGGCCUAGCUUGAUGGAUCAGUCAUCGGGGAGGGUGGGGUUGGUAGGAUUAAUGUGAUUGGCUUGGACCAAUUGUUUUAGAAAUGAUGGGAGGUGCUGCUGGCAGUAAGUGGGCAGGGCCCGUAGAUGUUUUAUGUCUUACAGAACAUGGGGCAGUUUAGCACAACAAAGAAUCAUUCCACAUCCCACAUGAUUCUUGAAUGUUCUACUGGUCAUCGAUAUGGGUGGUGGUUUUUUUUUUUUUAAGUUUGUUAUCUGAGCCUAAACCCUAACUCCAUUUUACAUUUUAAAGUAUUUUUUCAUACGGUUUUAAUAUACCCUGAAUUUUCUGAGAAUACAACCAACAAGAUAAUUGCGGGGAGAUUCUACUCUAUUUUGUUCAAAGCUUGACCAGGAAUUAUACCUCUUCCAAGAAAUCUUGUUAUUGAAGGCGGUGUUACUGAUGAUAAUUGAGUCCCCCAUAUAAUUCUCUGUGUGGCUACUGAUGACGUCACUGUUUCUUCUAGUGUAGCUCUGCCUGGGUCUUCACAUAUUGAAAUGCACACUUUGUUAUCAAUUACUUUCCCUUUAAUUUUCCUUUAUAUUACAUGAUUUAUAUUAAAUCAUUUUAUUUCAGCAGUUGUUACUCACUUUUAUCUGGGAUGUAUACUAGAGCUUCUUUUAGUCAUCUAGGUAUACCUUUUCCUAGUAGUUUAUCUUGGAGGGUACACCAGGAAGUAGCAUUUCUCAAAGUUAAUAGAACACUGGGGAGAAGAAAAGAAGCCAGCAUCUGGUUAAACCUUUUAAAAUUGUUCAAGCUGAAACAGUCCCAGCUGUGCUAGAUGAAGUAGGACUUUGGGAUCAGGCCCAUUCCUUUGAGCUCUGAAGUCGAUUCAAAACAGUUUUCUAGGGAGGAUCUUGGCCUUGCUAUGGGUACCUCCUUGGCUUCCCUCAAAGUACAGAUAGGCUGGCACUCUGCUCAGUCGCUCAUGUGUUCAUUCUGUUCAUUUUACAUCACAAACGGACAGCUCCCCGUAAGGCAUAGGGGUCUGUGCUCAUUAGGCAACAGAGGUUUGGUCACGCUCCAGUUAGAUGUCAAGGAAUAAUACAAUCUGGAGUUCUUGUUGCCUAAUACUCCUCAAAAACUUAGCUGAUAACAGUAUUAAGAGAGUAUUCCUUGGAAGCUCUUUUAGGUCAGCACUGUCCAAAUUUUCUGCAGUGAUGGAGAUUUUCUGUUUCUGGGCUGUUUGGUGUGGUAGCCACUCAUCACUGUGGCUACUCAAAUUAACUUAAAUUAAAUUAGAAAUUCAGUUCUUCUUUAGCACAGUUAUCUGAGCCUGAAACCCAACUCCAUUUUACAUUUAACAAAACUAGCCACAUUUCUAGUGUUCAGUAGCCACAAGAGGCUGUUGUAUUGGACAGCAUUUUUGCAGAAACUUCUUUUGGACAGCACUGUUCUCAAAUCUGCCUUGGGCUCAUCGGGUCGGGGUAGUGCUAGCUGCGGGACUGUAUUAAGGCAGUUUCCACCGCAUUUGCUUUUACUGAGCUCUUUGUUAUCAAGUGGUAACAUUGUAACAGUGCUUAUUAACUCACUUAAUCCUCAGCAAAUUGCUGUUGUAUUCCCACCUCACAGGGCAAAUGAGGUCACCCUGAGGCAGGUUGGAAAAACGCCCCAGGUCACACAGCUAUUAAGUGGCAGAGCUGGGGUUUGAAGUCUGACAGGAUAGGACUGGAGUCUCUUCUAACCAUUGCGCUGUGAUGCCUCCGUCUGCUUAGUUGUGGUGCCACUCUCUUGAAGUACGAAUUGUCUCGAGGACUAGCCCAGUGUGUUAACCACUGCAUCUAUUCUAAGGAAAGUUACUGAGCAUGCUGUUGGCACAGCUCUUCAGUAUGAAGACCCCGAUUGCUUUUUACAACCACAGAUAACUGCAUUUCUGCUGAGCUUUACUUCCAUCUUAUGUUCUCUAUGAAUUAUGUAGUUGAUCAGGUAGAAUCUCUCUUUCACAUCAGAUGCUGAAAAGCUUAAUGCCAGAUUUGGGUUCCACCAGAAGCAAUUGUAAUCCUGGUCAUUAUGGUGAUUUAUUAGAACCUCAUUCCUGGUUUAUUUUAUAUCUUCAUCUUUAGUUUUAUUUUCCUAUUCUAAAUGUUCACUCUGAAUGUAUGCUAUUCUGUAUUAUUUAAGCCCCCUUAAAUCAUUUUUGGAUCAUGAUGGGGGGAUGGAUAGUUAAUUAGACAGUUAUGAGUUUGGACUGAAAGAACUACCACAAAACUACCUGUCAGUUUCUGGAAACUAAUGACAGAAAAGGCAUUGACCUUUUGCAGUUGGAAAAAAUAGUGUGUGGCCUCAUAUUCAAAAUGCAGUUAUGGUUUUGGCAUGGCUGCAAUUGUUAGUUUACCUCAUUUAUAUGUCUCUCCUUGUUCCAAAAAGGAUUUGAGUUCAGCUGAAUAAGCAGGUAUUAGUCUAAACUUUGGAAAUCAAAUGUCCUAGUUCUAUUCUAGCAUUUUGGUGAAUCAUUUGAGUGAAGCCUGAAAAAUCAACAUUAACAAGUACUAUAAUCGUAGAAUUUGAGAGAUAGGGGGCCAUUAGAAAUCACCUGGAGAGGGUAGAGGACCAGGAAGAACUCAAUGACUAUGGUCCCUCAAGUAAGAAAGGGGCAGAAACGUUAGGUGAAUCCACUCUAUUACUCUUACCUCAACUACACUGCCCCUUACUCGCAUGGUCUCCAUCCCUCCAACCCCCACAUGCUAUUCUAAAUGUUAUUUUACAAUGUGAGUAUCUGGCGUUAGAUGCAUAAAGAUAAACCUUGCAUUGUGUUCUGUGUAUUUUAAUAAUUAACCAAAACACUGACCUGUUUAGUAAGCUGUUGCUGUCAUAAGCCAAGGAUGUAUUUUCCUGUCACCCAAGUCUCCUUUUUUUUUAUGAACAGGAGAAUCACCAUAAACUAUCAUCUUCUCUUGAUAAACAUUUUAAGUGAGAAAUCUUUUCAGUUCUCAAAAAAAAAAAAAAAAACCUGCAGCAAAUAAUGGACUUCUCUAUAAAGUACCUUACACCGUGGAAAUGCUGUGAGGAAGCUAAGUAGAAAGUUCCAGAGUACCACUGUGUCCCUGCGUCCCUGCUCCAACCCAACCUACCUGGCUCCACUGACGAGAAAGACCUGCUUUACACGCCAGUGUCCCGGGGACAGACGCCUGGCCCAUCCGCUUGGGAGCUGUCCAGAUAACUCUCGGCCCCCAAGGCGACCGCCAGCCAACGCUGAAGACGGUGCAGGAGUCAGAAGGAGCAGAGAGAACUUGCCAGAGCAUCAGGGCCUCCCCAGAGCCAGGAACCCACAGGUGACACACACUCCAAGGGCCCAGCCUCCUCCCGGGGCUCUGUCCUCCGUUCCAGGGGGACCAGAAGAGGCCUGUGAUGAGCCCCCGUGCCGCAGAGCAGAGUCCAGUCUCAAGGUGUGCACGUUCUCACUUUCUCCACCUUCCUUCCUGGCCCUGCCUUCUAUUCCCCAGAGACGCUCCCGUCCCAUCCCCACUCCACCUCCUCCUUGUCCUUUGUGUUCUCCUCUGGGCUCUUUGGCCUCUGUAUCCUUAUUUCAGAGUUUGGGGCUGUGUGUUUCAUCUCCUGCUUCUUAAUUCCUACAGGCUGGAGGGUGUGUGUUACACUACUACACAGUGGAGCUGGCGAGCACAGACUGCAGCUGACAGGCCUGUGUUCAAGUCCAACCUGCUGCAGUGUGGCCUUGGGCAAGGAAAUUAGCUUCCCUGUGCCUGUGCCUCCCUGAGAAGUGAGGACACUAAUGCCUACUUGAGAGGCUCCUGGGAGGGUUAAAUGAAACCCCGUUUGCGAAGCACCCAGCCCGGUAUCUGGUGUGCAGUAGGGACACAGCUGUUAUUCUAGGGUGACAGUGCUCGACAGCACGCCAGGCAUUCAGCAGGUGCACAGUGAGUGCUCUGUGGCCGGAUGGGCUGAAUCUGGGUCUUUGGUUGCCUUACGGGGGUUAGGCACUAGAGCACUUGUUUCCAUUUUUCUCUGGACCUGUCUCAUAUCUGCAGGUGUGGAGAAGUACCGGCUGACCUCUCAUUUCCUCAGAGCCUGAGCUGGCAAAGACACAGCAGGUCAAGUUCAUGGAUAAGUGUAAAAACUGACACUGGCCCCUCUCAAGGGGUGGAGAGAAUCUUUCUCACAAAAGUUUUCACUAUUCCUCCCACGCUUUUUCUCCCUAAAAGCAUCCCUAAAGCAAGAGCAGGCUUUGAGGCAAACUUCUGCCUCAAAGACAGAUUUUAGAGACAUUCUUUGAAGAUCUUUCUGGUCCCAUGUGACCUGUUGCAGUGACUGAGGCCCUAAUAAAGAGCAAUGGGCGGGCUCCCCUGGUGGCGCAGUGGUUGAGAGUCCACCUGCCGAUGCAGGGGACGCGGGUUCGUGCCCCGGUCCGGGAAGAUCCCACAUGUCGCGGAGUGGCUGGGCCCGUGAGUCAUGGCCGCUGAGCCUGCGCGUCUGGAGCCUGUGCUCCGCAACAGGAGAGGCCACAACAGUGAGAGGCCCACGUACCGCAAAAAAAAAAAAAGAGCAAUGGGCAUCUCCAUAGCAGGUGGUCAUCAUGACACCUCCCUGAUCGACCCUGACCUGGGCACCAGGUCCCGGACCAGCCCCAGGCAUAUUUUAUAUCCAUAUGCGUCCUGUCAUCCCCAUGAUAACCCCAUUCUACAGGUGCGGAAACUGAGGCUUCGCAAGGUCACACAGCUGGUAAAUAGCAGAACCAAGUAGUGCAGUCUGUUUGACCUGCCCCAGCCCACACUCCUGCCAUGGGGCCACUCCCUUUUGUACUGGGGUGAGCACUGGCCUAGAGCCUGAGAAUCCAGCUCUGAGCCAGUGACACACGCUCUCCCUGGAACCGCAGCUUCAUUACUUUCUAAACGGGGGGAGGAAAGGCCACCCUCCCACUGCCCAGGUGAGGGUUCUGGGUGGGGGCAGGAAGAGAGUAGAGUGAAAAUAAAUUUCUUUUUAAUUUAUAGCUAACCAGAUUUUCUCUUGCAGCAAUUUAUAUGUUUCCCCUAAUUCAGGCAACUGUGAGUAUGAGAAAAGCAUUCAGCCGUUUGAAGAGUGCUAUUUAACUCAUUACAAAGAACAAUUCUUUCGAAUCUCUGAAAAUUUUCUGGAAGUCACAUGUCAUUUUCACUUUCACCUAUUAAAACUGAAGCUUACAUUCAGCGUUUUAAAAAGCGUCCCGGUGCAGAGGCAGCCAGCAGCUGGCGGCACAGGCUGCGUCUCGGGCCCGAGUCAGAGGUCAUCCCUCCCUGGGAGCACAGACCAUCUCAGCAAGUUGCCGUCUUAGGCUCAGACCUGAACUUAUUUUGAGAGAAAGAAAGACCUGAAAAAGGUCACAAUGAACCAACAGAAAAUCUUCAACCUCUGUCAUUAUCUUGACUCACUGUGGGCUUGGGAGUGGGCUGCACACAUUCCAGGAGCCCAGCAGGAAAAAGCUGGGCCGUGAGGAAACGGAGUUCCUGGGCUGGAGUGGAGCCCAAAGCCUGUAUGAGAUCCCUUCACACAUCUGCUUCCCUCAUAAGGGAUCCCUAACUCCCAGGCUCUGCCAGGUAGAAACCAAGCUAGCACUGGGCCAGGAGCCAGAGCAAGGGCUUACCUGGUAGGAACAUCUGCUAAGCUCUGAACAAAAUGCAAAAGCUGCUAUUUUAAUGAUCAUAAAUUCCUACAGCAGGUUCCCCCAGUACCCUGGCUACCAUGUUAAUGGAAUCAUUUUUCAAUUUACUGGGUACAGAGGAGACCCAGUGCACAGGGCCGAGCAGAGGGUCUGUGUGUGUGUGUGUGUACACGCCUGCAUUUUUCAGGAGUAAGGAUAUUUGCAUAACACAGAUACCGUUGCAGAUACCAGAUAGACAGGAAGUUUCAGAACCGAUGCUGUUUCCUUUCGCUGUGAAUCAGCAGCCUCUUUCUUCGCAUACAGAAAUGGUGAAAAUCACAGGGUAUGGCUCUGGAAUGUGCAGUACAGGAGAAAGAGCACAAAGGUUUCCAGUCCCCUUUUUUGGUGGAGGGCUUCCCUGGACACCCAGCCCUGCGCAUGCUCCUCAGGCCGGCACUCUCCACCAGCCUGGCUUCCUACAGCGCUUCAGGAGAUGCUUGGGUGCCAGCCCUAAACACAUUAGCCAAACAGUGUCCAGCCGCACAACAUUCGUUUCACCAGUGCUUGGAAGAAGCCCAGCCAGGAGGGUGAGAGAGCCCCUACCUCCUGGUUCCUGGCCCCAGGUUUGUGUCACAGAGAGGCCAUGCGGAGUAAGGAGCACGCCCUGGACUUGGCACCAGAAUCCCUGGUUCAGACCCCUGCUCCAGCCAGAGAGACCUUGGGCCACCCGCUUUCCCCUCUGAGGCUGGGUUUCCCUAUCCGUGGGGCUGAUAAUGGCCCCCUGCAGGUUGGGGGCUGUAAUACAUGUGAAAAGCAGGGAAUAUAAAGCAGUAAAUAAAAAGCACACGCUUUGGAGUCAGAUGUCUGAGUUCAAAACCCAGCUCCAUUGUGUUCUGGCUAUGAGACUUGGGGCAAAGUACUGAACUCUUCCAAGUCCAUUUGCUCAUCUAUGAAAUGGAGACAAUAAGAAUAGUCUAACGGAACCCUCGUACACUGUUGGUAGGAAUGUAAAUUGGUGCAGCCACUAUGGAAAACAGUAUGGAAGUUCCUGAACAAACUAAAUAUAGAACUAGCAUAUGAUCCAGCAAUCCCACUCCUGGAUACGUAUCUGGAAAAAACAAAAACACUAAUUCGAAACAUUACACGCACCCCAGUGUUCAUAGCAGCACUGUUUACAAUAACCAAGACAUGGAAGCAACCCAAGUGCACAUCAACAGAUGAUUGGAUUCAGAAGCUGUGGUAUAUAUAUACACAAUGGAAUAAUACUCAGCCAGAAAAAAAAGAAGAAAUACUGCCAUUUGCAGCAACGUGGAUAUACCUAGAGAAUAUUACACUUAGUGAAAUGUCAGAGAAAACAAAUACUGCAUGAUAUCACUUACAUGUAGAAUCUAAAAAAAGAUACAAACGAAUGUAUAUGCAAAGCAGAACAGACUCACAGAAAACAAACUUGUGGUUACCAAAGGGGAGAGGGAAGGUGAGAGGGACAAAUUAGGGGUAUGGGAUUAACAGAUACAAACUACUAUGUAUAAAAUAGGUAAGAAACAAAGAUGUACUGUACAGCACAAGGAACUAUAGCCAUUAUCUAUCUUGUAAUAACUUAUAAGGGAGUAUGAUCUGCAAAACUACUGAAUCACUGUGCUGUACACCUGAAACUAACAAUAUUGUAAAUCAACUAUAAUUCAAUUGAAAAAAAAAAGAAUAAUCUACCCAACAGUCUACUGAGAGGGUGAAAUGACAUAUCACUUAGCACCCAGCACAGUAUCUGGCUCACAGGAAACUCUCAACUGUGUGAACCAGUUUUCCCACUGCCUUCUCCCCCUUCCUCCGCCCUCCUUCCACCUGCCUCAUCCAACACUGAAAGACCCGUGAGGUAGGGACCACUGCUGAGCUUCACCAGUGACUGCCCAGUACCUGGCUUGGCAUGUAAUAAGGCGUAACAAAUCAGUUGAAUAAAAGAACAGAUGUUCCUGGUUCAUAGCAGGUGCCGAGGAAAUGUAGAAUAUGUAUGUAUGAAAGCCACAGACCGCGUCGUGCUCUAGUUUUGAAAUCCCUAAAAGGGGGCCAGUAUAGAAUAAUGAUUACAGGCACCGUGGGCUUAUACAGCAGUCAGAUCUGGUGUGUCCUUUAACGUCUCUCAGCCUCACUUUCCUGAUCGUAAAAUGGGCACAGUAGUAGUAAGUCACCCAUGCUGAGUUGUUUUAGGGUUAAAUGAGAUAAUACAUGCAAAAUACUUAACAUAGCGCUCUGCACAUAAUAAGCAUGUAGAGGAAUGUGUCGGAGAAAUCCCAGCUUCAAGACCCUAGAGGAAGAUGAUUCAAAGACUUGACUUUUUUCCCAAGAGGACAAGCCUUGGGCCUGGCAACCCUCUUGCCUCAUUUCACUUGGUUCCCUCCUUCCCAGAAGUAUCUCUCUUCCUCCUUAGGCCUGGUGGUCUUUUCUUGUUGAAGAGUUGGUGCUUCUGAAGCCCUGCUCCCACCACCCCUGUGGGAUUUCUGCACAGGACAGUGAGCUGCGCCUCACUGACCCCACUCUGCUGCUCCGUGCAUGUGUGUGUGGGUGCAUGGGUGCAGGGGUUUGGGAGGCUUGUCUCUGCAAGGAACACAGCACGCUGAUCCAGGUAUUUACUCUGGGGCUUGGAAGCAGUGGACACAAGGGCGAAGCACCAAGGUCUGUACUCAGAUAGCCUGACUUUGCAUCAGAGCUCUGCAUGGACAAGCUGUCUGAUCUUAGACAAGUCUGCUACCCUCUGUCAACCUCAACUUCCUAAUCUGUAAAAUGGGGACCAGUGCUAGUACCCAGGGCUGCUUGUGAAAACACUUAAUAACCAGCUUUGGCACUAACCUAUUAAAUGAAUGCCAGUCAGUACAGGCACACCUGCUAAAUAUUAACUCUGCUAAUCUCUACUGCAGAGGUUGCUGUGGCUCCUGGCACGUUAUAAACACCCUAAACUUUAGCCAUGACUUUUAUGUUUAGCUCAUGUCACACAGUUCCCAGAACAGUCCCCAGGGGAGGGACAUUCAGAGAAGUGGUGCCUCUAAACACACCUGGUCUUUGUCCUCUCCCAGGCCAACUAAGAACCCCUUGCUUCUCUUUGCUCACCAGAGAGUCACAAAAGUGCUGGGGAUGGGAAAGGACCUGGUAUUAUCUGCACAAUGCAAAUCAGUGUACCCCUGUGUUCCCCUUGGGUGGGGGCUGUUUUCCCCAUGAGAGUUCUUUGCAAAUCUUCAUCACGGCCACAGAAGUGCAAAAUACAUGGUGGACCAGUCACAGAGUUUGUUCACAGUACAAGCCAAGCCAGUGUGUGGCUCGCAGAUCACACACUGGGGCCCCCUGCAUUGCCCGGAUGGAAAAAUCCAGAGAUGUUUAUUGUGCAUGUAUCACUGGACAGCUUCUGUCUGAGGCCAGAGUCUCUUUCCCUCCUGUUAUCACUCUUGGACCAGGUUUUUGAAAAGGGCCCCAGGGCAUGCAGGCAGCCCUCCACAGCAGCAGGAAUUUAUUCUCGGGCACCCCCCAUUCUGCUUCCUGCACCCCAACAGUCCAUAGCCAGAAAUAUCAAGGACACCGGGCCCAGCUGCCCAGAGUAGAGGUCACUUCUGCUCCCAGCAAGAGUCUGCAGGAGGCCACGUCUGCUAAGGGCCAGGACAGCCGGUCACCCUGGAGGCCCUGCCUGGGCUUUGACGGCCUGCCGGGCCCCUGUCAUGAAGACUAAAAGCAGCCACCUCUCUCCCGCAGACCCGGCAGUGCAUCUAUGUUUGGGGCUGCGUAUCUAUGAAGUCCUGUUCUGUCGCCUCAUAAAAGAUGCUCCCACUGGAGCGAGUGUGGAAGCGGGCCGGGGAGGGAGGUGACCGUACCUCAGGGCACUGGCUCUGGAAAUGUAACCUGGUUGCCCAUCAGGGCCAAACAAUAGAAUGCAAACCCAAAUGGGAUUUUCUAGUAAGUGUUUUAACGGAGGACAUUUUUUCUUUUUAGAACUGCAUUGUUCAUGAUUAGAGCCCAGCAGGAAUUUACCCAUGGGUUUUUCAAGCAUCUGUGUUUGUCCUUUGCUGUGUCACAACUGUCAACAAAAUAACAUUGUAAUCAUAAAGCUGCCAUUUCUUGUAUGUAAACCCUGCUCCAACCUCUAGCAGGUAUUUAUAGUAUACAUAUUCUGUCCUUUGAUGUAUUCCUUGCCAAAACCCAUGAGGAAGGAAGUAUAAUAACAAUACUAAUUAUUAUAAUAAUUAUGCUUUUGAUUAUAAUUAUUAUAAUCAAUACUAAAAUAAAUUUUAUUUUAAUAAAUAAAACAUGCAUUAAACUUUUUUUAACAUG